GUGCUUGCUUCGGCAGCACAUAUACUAAAAUUGGAAUGAUACAGCAAAGAUUAGCAUGGCCCCUGGGCAAGAAUGACACAAAGAAAAAACAGUAGUGUUU
rnacentral:snRNA from 1 species